rnacentral:lncRNA from 1 species
GUUUGGUGAUGGAGACUGUCCACUAGCUUUCGUUUAUUUGGAUGAAGUCUUAACAUGUAUCUGCGUGUAUAACAUCAGCACUAUAUCAGAUUUGCAAACAAUACUAUAUAGUUACGAGAACAGAAAUUGAUCGGGUACAGAAUAUUUUCCGACUUGGAAAAGAAAAUCUAGUCUUAGAACAGCAAAGAAUCUGCUGCUAAUUGAAUGACAGAGGUAGUUAUUAUUAAACUUGAAGCAGCAAUGAAAACACUUAAAUCGAAAGAUGAACUUGUAAAAUCUUUGAUGGUUUCAUCAAAUGAAUGGAUUUCAAGCAUAUCAUUAAAAUGAGUCAAGUUAAGAAAAACAAGCAUUUUC